rnacentral:tRNA from 1 species
AGAGCGGUGGCUCAGAAGCAAAGAGCACUGACUGCUCUUCCAGAACAUCUGGGUUCAAUUCCCAGCAGCUCAA